rnacentral:rRNA from 1 species
AUUGAACGCUGGCGGCAGGCCUAACACAUGCAAGUCGAACGAGUGGCGGACGGGUGAGUAAUGUCUGGGAAACUGCCUGCUGGAGGGGGAUAACUAAUGGAAACGGUAGCUAAUACAGCAUACCAUCGGAUGUGCCCAGAUGGGAUUAGCUAGUAGGUGGGGUAAAGGCUCACCUAGGCGACGAUCCCUAGCUGGUCUGAGAGGAUGACCAGCCACCCGGGAACUGAGCCACGGGCCAGACGCCUACGGGAGGCAGCAGUGGGGAAUAUUGCAAAAUGGGAGCAAGCCUGAUGCAGCCAUGCCGCGUGUAUGAAGAAGGCCUUCGGGUUGUAAAGUACUUUCAGCGGGGAGGCGUUACCCGCAGAAGAAGCACCGGCUAACUCCGUGCCAGCCGCCGCGGUAAUAC